CCCAUUGUAUGCAGCUGAUGGCAAGGAGGCGACCGGGGGUGGCAGGGCUCCUGGCCCUAGCCCCUGUGCCCAAAUUCACGCGCUCACGUCUCCUGGGCAGGGAAAAGUCAGAGGCAGGGAGCGGAGAGCCCAGGCAGCAGGCAGAUUGCUGGAGAUGCAGAGGGAAAGGCGCGGAGAGGCGGAGAGGGUGGGCGAGAAAGCGCGAGCGCGCGGGGCGCCGGGGCCUCGACUGGACGCCGGGUGGGUGCGCCGGCCCAGCCGCCUCCGACCCCGGACCGCGCGUCGUGGGCACCAGAAGCGACACUCGCCACAGUCCGGCCCCAGCAGACAGGGAUGGAGGAGCGGAAAUACCGUCACCUCUCGGUACUGAUUGCCGGGAAUUGGUGCUCCAGAUGUUGCACUGGAAGCGCUGCGAGUGUGAGCAGGUGGCAGUAGCUCGAAUCACAGCUUGUAGCAGAUGUUCUCAAUAUUUCUGUUGAAAUUUCCUGAUCUCUACCUGCAAGAGGAGCCUCAGAGCUUCAUCUUGGUGGUACCUGUCAUCAUUGGUAUGAGGCUAUACUUUCCCACCCAUGCUUCCUGUUCUAGCGCAGCAGCUGGGUUAGAAUUGAGCUGUUUGUUUCACAAAUAACUCGGGAGAACUGAAGGAAAAAUGUCUCAGUAAUAUCAAAACUGUGACUUAUUUGAGCUUGCGUAUUAUGCCUUGUUAUUUUUAUACCUCUUUGUGGAAACUUCAGAGAAGUCCUUGCUUAUUAUAAGGUCUUAGCAUUGUGGUUCUGCUUGAAUUUUAUUGUCAUCCACUGCUUCUAUUGAUUUUUAAGUUUUGGUCUAAUUUCUUAUUUUCUUAAAUAAUAAAGAG
rnacentral:lncRNA from 1 species